rnacentral:rRNA from 1 species
GAUGAACGCUGGCGGCGUGCCUAAUACAUGCAAGUCGAGCGAACAGACGAGGAGCUUGCUCCUCUGACGUUAGCGGCGGACGGGUGAGUAACACGUGGAUAACCUACCUAUAAGACUGGGAUAACUUCGGGAAACCGGAGCUAAUACCGGAUAAUAUAUUGAACCGCAUGGUUCAAUAGUGAAAGACGGUUUUGCUGUCACUUAUAGAUGGAUCCGCGCCGCAUUAGCUAGUUGGUAAGGUAACGGCUUACCAAGGCGACGAAGCGUAGCCGACCUGAGAGGGGGAUCGGCCACACGGGAACUGAAACACGGUCCAGACUCCUACGGGAGGCAGCAGUAGGGAAUCUUCCGCAAUGGGCGAAAGCCUGACGGAGCAACGCCGCGUGAGUGAUGAAGGUCUUCGGAUCGUAAAACUCUGUUAUUAGGGAAGAACAAAUGUGUAAGUAACUAUGCACGUCUGGACGGUACCUAAUCAGAAAGCCACGGCUAACUACGU